UUUGGGGCGGGGUGUCAAGUGGAUUACAUCAACCCCAGUUGAUGUAAUCCACUUGAUUAUUUCAUCGAUCCCGAAAGGAUGAAAGGCAAAGUCGACCUCGGUGGAAUUUGAACUCAGAACGUAAAGACGGACGAAAUGCCGCCAGGCAUUUUGCCCGGCGUGCUAACGCUUCUGCCAGCACACCUCCUUAAUUUAUUAAGUAUAUUAACAUCAAUUAUUGAGUAAAGACUUCAAGAUCAAGAUUUAUAAAUAUUAUUAAGAACUUCAAUGAAAUUUAAAGUCGAAGUUGGUGUUUUUAAAUCAGUUGAAGCAUUAGAGAUUCUAUACGCAUUAAUCUGUGCUUAUCUCCGUGCUUUACUGAUUUAGAUGCAGGACACAUGCUGAAAGUUGGGGAGAAAACCCAAGAAAACGACAUCGGUGUGGGAGAUUGAGUCUGCAGUAAUUCUGAAGUUGAUGGUGGUGACGAUGACAACGACGACGACGAUAACAUUGACAAUGUUGAUGGCUGCCGAGAAGAGGAGAUUCUGAUCGUUAGAUUUACUUGAAAUGAUGUCGAUUGAGACUUGCAUUUCUAACAGAGAAAGAGAAAGAGGAGAAGAAGAUAAAAACCAUUUUAUAACAUUCCACCUAAAAUAAAGAAAAUACUGUA